rnacentral:rRNA from 1 species
CCUACGGGUGGCAGCAGUAGGGAAUCUUCCACAAUGGGCGCAAGCCUGAUGGAGCAACACCGCGUGAGUGAAGAAGGGUUUCGGCUCGUAAAGCUCUGUUGUUGAAGAAGAACGUGCAUGAGAGUAACUGUUCAUGCAGUGACGGUAUUCAACCAGAAAGUCACGGCUAACUACGUGCCAGCAGCCGCGGUAAUACGUAGGUGGCAAGCGUUAUCCGGAUUUAUUGGGCGUAAAGAGAGUGCAGGCGGUUUCUUAAGUCUGAUGUGAAAGCCUUCGGCUCAACCGAAGAAGUGCAUCGGAAACUGGGAAACUUGAGUACAGAAGAGGGCAGUGGAACUCCAUGUGUAGCGGUGGAAUGCGUAGAUAUAUGGAAGAACACCAGUGGCGAAGGCGGCUGCCUGGUCUGUAACUGACGCUGAGACUCGAAAGCAUGGGUAGCGAACAGGAUUAGAUACCCGGGUAGUC